CCUACGGGAGGCAGCAGUGGGGAAUAUUGGACAAUGGGCGGAAGCCUGAUCCAGCAACGCCGCGUGAGGGAUGACGGCCUUCGGGUUGUAAACCUCUUUCGGUGGGGACGAAGCGCAAGUGACGGUACCCACUAAAGAAGCACCGGCCAACUACGUGCCAGCAGCCGCGGUAAUACGUAGGGUGCGAGCGUUGUCCGGAAUUAUUGGGCGUAAAGGGCUCGUAGGCGGUUUGUCGCGUCGGGAGUGAAAACGCCGUGCUUAACACGGCGCUUGCUUUCGAUACGGGCAGACUAGAGGUAUGCAGGGGAGAACGGAAUUCCUGGUGUAGCGGUGAAAUGCGCAGAUAUCAGGAGGAACACCGGUGGCGAAGGCGGUUCUCUGGGCAUUACCUGACGCUGAGGAGCGAAAGUGUGGGGAGCGAACAGGAUUAGAUACCCUGGUAGUCCACACCGUAAACGUUGGGCGCUAGGUGUGGGGUCCAUUCCACGGAUUCCGUGCCGCAGCUACGCAUAGCGCCCGCCGUCGGGAGGUACGGCCGCGACGGACGUAAACGUACGAAAGGAAAGUAGACGGCGUGAGAACGUGCCGACGGACGACGACGAGGGGAGGAGG
rnacentral:rRNA from 1 species